UCCAGACUCCUACGGGAGGCAGCAGUGGGGAAUAUUGCACAAUGGGGGAAACCCUGAUGCAGCGACGCCGCGUGAGUGAAGAAGUAUUUCGGUAUGUAAAGCUCUAUCAGCAGGGAAGAAAAUGACGGUACCUGACUAAGAAGCCCCGGCUAACUACGUGCCAGCAGCCGCGGUAAUACGUAGGGGGCAAGCGUUAUCCGGAUUUACUGGGUGUAAAGGGAGCGUAGACGGCAUGGCAAGUCAGAUGUGAAAGCCCGGGGCUCAACCCCGGGACUGCAUUUGAAACUGUCAGGCUGGAGUGCAGGAGAGGUAAGUGGAAUUCCUAGUGUAGCGGUGAAAUGCGUAGAUAUUAGGAGGAACACCAGUGGCGAAGGCGGCUUACUGGACGGCAACUGACGCUGAGGCUCGAAAGCGUGGGGAGCAAACAGGAUUAGAUACCCUGGUAA
rnacentral:rRNA from 1 species